UGUUCAUCUUCAUUCAACCUCAUUUCCCUUUUUUUUCAGAAAAAUUCCAAUUUUAAAGUAAAGAAUUCAAAGACGUGUAUGACACUCAUUACCUUAUACAUGUAUGGCGAGCUUGUGACCCGGAUGGAUGAAUGAUGGAAAGACAAAUAAUAAGUGUUGUUGUAUACAGUAUUUGGUAUAAAUCAGUCAUUGACAGUCAUUACAGCUGAAGAUUUUAAUGCCGCCCUGUACCAGCACUAACAAUGUUGAUUACAGUCAAUGGAAGGUUAAUUAAACCAGAAUAACAGCACCUAUGAAUGUGGUCGAAUAAGAUUUGGUGUGAAGCAUUGGAUUCAUGAGAUCACAAACCCCAACGAUAUGCAGCGAUUCGAAGAUAACCUUUUCAAAAAAGCUUGUGGAUGUGAUGAGGCUACAAUUUUUUAAUUUGCCGUGUAGCAUUGGGACCAUGAGUGGACAAAUCCUAUAAAUUCAGCAAUCCACACUUAACCCACUUUUUUUGGAAACCAUGUGAACGUGAUAAGGCUGCAAUUUUUUUUAACAGAUUUUUUUCUAAUUCUUUAUGAAACAUUGGGACAAUGAGUGGAUUAGCCUUAUUUAUAUUCCUUAUUCUCUUUUGCAAUAUGUGGGUGUAUCUUUGAUGGCAACCACUUGUUAAUUGUAUCAAUUGUGUUGUA